UUUUUUGUCACCUUGCUCAGCUCCAUACCCACUGUAACCAUCAAACGUAGAUAGCUCAUGUGACCUCUUAGCCAUGGCAGAGGCUAUAACUUCUGGAAUGGGUUCGGUUGUGUCACCAAUCCCAAGGCUUAUGACUUGUGCAUCAGGGUACUUCAACAUGUGAGCCGAUCUCCGCCUCGCAAUCUCUGGGAACAGAUACCCAGCCUGUAGUUUUCCCAUAUUUGUAUUGCGAGCAACUUUUGUCUUGUAAGCUGUCUCGGAAGAAGGAGAUGCAACACAUCGGCAACCCAGGG
rnacentral:misc_RNA from 1 species